CAGCAGCCGCGGUAAUACGUAGGGUGCAAGCGUUAAUCGGAAUUACUGGGCGUAAAGCGUGCGCAGGCGGUUAUAUAAGACAGAUGUGAAAUCCCCGGGCUCAACCUGGGAACUGCAUUUGUGACUGUAUAGCUAGAGUACGGCAGAGGGGGAUGGAAUUCCGUGUGUAGCAGUGAAAUGCGUAGAUAUGCGGAGGAACACCGAUGGCGAAGGCAAUCACCUGGGCCUGUACUGACGCUCAUGCACGAAAGCGUGGGGAGCAAACAGGAUUAGAUACCCCUGUAGUCCCUGUCUCUUAUAC
rnacentral:rRNA from 1 species